AUGGCGACUGAACAGCUCAACGUGUUGAAAGCGCUCGACGUUGCCAAGACGCAGCUGUACCAUUUCAAGGCCGUCGUGAUCGCCGGCAUGGGCUUCUUCACGGACGCCUACGACCUCUUCUGCAUCGCCCUCGUCACCAAGCUGCUGGGGCGCAUCUACUACACCGACCCUGCCCUCAACGAGCCUGGCCACCUCCCGGCAAACGUGUCGGCCGCCGUGAACGGCGUGGCCCUAUGCGGCACACUUGCCGGCCAGCUCUUCUUCGGCUGGCUCGGUGACAAGCUCGGCCGCAAGAGCGUCUACGGCUUCACGCUCAUCCUCAUGGUCCUCUGCUCCAUCGCGUCUGGGCUCUCGUUUGGACACGAGGCCAAGGGCGUAAUGGGGACGCUAUGUUUCUUCCGCUUUUGGCUCGGCUUCGGCGUCGGCGGCGAUUAUCCUCUCAGCGCCACCAUCAUGUCGGAGUAUGCUAACAAGAAGACCCGCGGCACCUUUAUCGCCGCCGUGUUUGCCAUGCAGGGGUUUGGCAUCCUAUUUGGUACUAUCGUCACAAUCAUCGUCUCGUCCGCAUUCCGACAUGCAUUCCCUGCACCGCCAUUCUACAUCGACGCCGCGGCGUCCAUCGGCCCGGAGGCCGACUACGUGUGGCGCAUCAUCGUCAUGUUCGGCACCAUCCCGGCUGCCCUGACCUACUACUGGCGCAUGAAGAUGCCCGAAACUGCGCGGUACACGGCACUCAUCGCCGGCAACACGAAGCAAGCCACAUCAGACAUGUCCAAGGUGCUCAACAAGGAGAUCUUAGAGGAGAACGUCCAGGGUGAGCGGGCCACCGCGACCACAAGCACUUGGUUCCUACUCGAUGUGGCCUUCUACAGCCAGAACCUAUUCCAGAAGGACAUCUUCACCAAGAUCGGGUGGAUCCCGCCGGCCAAGACUAUGAAUGCAUUGGAGGAGUUGUACCGCAUCGCCCGCGCCCAAGCGCUCAUCGCGCUCUGUGGCACCGUGCCUGGCUACUGGUUCACCGUCGCCUUCAUCGACAUCAUUGGAAGGUUUUGGAUCCAGCUCAUGGGAUUCACCAUGAUGACCAUUUUCAUGCUAGCAAUCGCCAUACCGUACGACUACUUGGUGAAGCCAGGGCACCACACCGGUUUCGUCGUGCUCUACGGGCUCACUUUCUUCUUCGCCAACUUCGGCCCCAACAGCACAACUUUCAUCGUGCCAGCUGAGAUCUUCCCUGCGAGGCUCCGGUCCACAUGCCACGGUAUCUCUGCCGCUACUGGUAAGGCAGGCGCGAUCAUCGGCGCGUUCGGGUUCCUGUAUGCAUCGCAGGACCAGAAGAAGCCCGACACCGGCUACUCACGGGGAAUUGGCAUGCGCAACUCGCUCUUCGUGCUCGCAGGCACAAACUUCCUGGGCCUGCUCUUUUCCCUGCUGGUGCCGGAGUCCAAGGGCAAGUCGCUCGAGGAGCUCUCCAAGGAGAACGUCGGCGACGAUGGCAUCGAAGCUUAG
rnacentral:rRNA from 1 species